CAUCAGCAGGAGCAACACAGCCACGAAUAUUUUGAGGACAAGGCCCUAAGUGCUACUCUUCCACCUGAGAAAUUGCAACCAAAGGAGAACCCUUAACAAGGGACCAGAUGCCAAGGAUCCAGCAGAGGAAUUUCUGGGGACAGUGGAAUUGCCAGAAGUUACCAGAAGAUAUGAAGAAUGGAGCUCUGGCUGCCAUCUUGGAUCAUGAAGAUGAAGAAGGUGGAGGAGAGAGCUUAAAAAAACUUGGAUUCUUGACAACCCUGUGGUACCUGGAUUUCUUGCCUCUGGACUUCAUUUAUGUAAAAAUGUACAAUACAAUGCAAGAGGUGCCCAGCCAUCUUGUGACCAUGAGCUACAACAUGUCAGGUGUUAUGAAGCAAGAAGACAGAAGGAGCCUGUGUCCUUGACACCAUAAAGCUGCUUGGACAGCCAUUGACUGCCUAUCCCUGGUCUACAUAUGAG